rnacentral:misc_RNA from 1 species
UAGUAACGUGUCUAUUAGAUAAACGCUGAAAGCAUCUAAGUGUGAAACUAUCUCAAAGAUUAAUCUUCCCAUUUCUGUUAAAGGAAAGUAAGAGCCGUUAUAGACCAUGACGUUGAUAGGUUACGGGUGUAAGCAUAGUGAUAUGUUGAGCUGAGUAAUACUAAUUGCUCGAGGACUUAUUGGUUGAUAAAAGGUAUUUAUCAACUAAAAGAUUGUCGUUUUUGUUUGG